CAGAGCGUUCUGUCCCUCCUGGAGAGGGUCAUGUUGGGAGGUCUGCCUUAUCUCUGAAGUCAGCCAACUUUUGCUCCAUUGUAGAUAUUGAGAGACUCACCGUUGGCAUUUGCUAUCAAAGCUCACAGAGGCAUCCAGAGCCAUAUUAGGGGGGAUAAAAAGGAGAAAUAACCACCGCUAGUAUUAUAUUAGUCACCAGUCCUAUUUUUCAAACCAUGAACAGGUGAGUUUUAUUUUGACAAGUGAAUCUGAAUAUCAGAUCAGACGUGCGGUCUACAGAGAAUAACCUGGAGUUGCUGGUGAAAUGGCACCAUCAUGAAGGAGGGACUUAAAUACAAUCCAGAACAAGCGGGAUUCAGUUUCAGACCCAAGACCUGAACAUGACGAGAGGACCCAAGCUGGGAUUCAGUUCAAAUCACGCCUCCAAAAUUUGAUUGUGUUCAGUUUUCAGCAAAAUGGAACCACUCAUAUUAUUAACUCAUUUACAGUAUAUACAGUACAUUCAGCUACAGCAUUUCCAUAAAGCAGACACCAACAGUCCGUAAUUGCUCACAUUUGUAUUUACUGUCUUUCUUUCCGUAUUUGUUAGUCAGUAUUAACAGUAGACUUUUUUGUCUUGUCUUUCUGCUCAAGUGAUUGUCUACUGAAACUGGUCAUCUUGCAAAUCUGACUCGCAAUGCAAUCAGCAGGUUUUUGUUUAGGCUACAACAUUUUCCAGUAAUGAAAUAUUUUACCUGUUAUCCUGAAUGACCAGAGAGCUUGUUCACAGAGAUGUAUUACAUCCCUGUGACUUUCUUCUGUACUCGGUGCACAUAA